GCAAGUCGAGCGGUAACAGAAAUUAGCUUGCUAAUUUGCUGACGAGCGGCGGACGGGUGAGUAAUGCUUGGGAACAUGCCUUGAGGUGGGGGACAACAGUUGGAAACGACUGCUAAUACCGCAUAAUGUCUACGGACCAAAGGAGGGGAUCUUCGGACCUCUCGCCAUUUGAUUAGCCCAAGUGGGAUUAGCUAGUUGGUGAGGUAAUGGCUCACCAAGGCAACGAUCCCUAGCUGGUUUGAGAGGAUGAUC
rnacentral:rRNA from 1 species